GAAAUCCUGGGAUGUACGCGAACCUGUUAAUUUGAACCUACAUUUUUACAUAAGGGAUUCCUAUAUUGAUACUUUGAUGUCAAGCCUUAUAGAGUGUUUCUGGUAGGCAGAGAUGUUAUUUGCGGAAACCCACCUAGCCUUGCUAGGACUCAAAAGCAGGAACGGCAUUUCGGGGCAUAU
rnacentral:other from 2 species